rnacentral:lncRNA from 1 species
AUGGCCAGCCAUAGCAAGAACAAAGGAAGAAAAGAAGAACAAAAACCCUAGAGUGAAAAUUCAAGAGAAAAUUGGUGGAUUUCAAGUAAUCAAGCCAUCAAAGGUGAAAUUUCUUAACUCUAGCUUGUGAUCUAUCUUACCUAUGCAUUAUUUUGCAUUUUUCAUGGUUGAAUCACAAGUUAUCAUGAAGGAUAGUGUGCUGAUCAAACCCUAGGAGAGAUAAUUUGAUGAUGAUUUAGAUAGAUUUUUAAGUUAUAUGGAUGUUUUUAGUUGUUUAUGGUGUUAAGUGUAAGAAUUAAGCUUGAAAUUCACAUAUUCCUCAUGAGUUCAUCAUUGGCCAAAUCUUCCUUGUAGAGUGUUGAUGGUGGAUUUGAUUUUAUUUCAAGUGAAUUGGUUAGGAAAUGAUGAAUUAUGGUGAGAAAAUCAAGUAGGAAAAAUCAUAGUGUUGAUGCACUCACCAUGGCCGAAAUUCUCAAGAAGAAAUGUGAGGAUGGUUUUGCUAAAUUUUAUGUUAUUUGACUUGUGUUUGGUGAUUUGAAGUAUUGGGAGAAAAAUGAAAUUAUUUGGAGUUAAAUUGGACGUAUUGGCCAAUUAAUCGGGUGAUAGAUCGAAUUAGGCCAAUACCAUUUUAUUUAGGUACAUAAUUGAAUUUAUAUUGAACAUCAUAUUUAGAUAGUUACCCGAGUAUUUCAUAUCCCAUUUCAUGCAUUAGUAUAAAGCCUGAAUUGGUUUUACAACGGUUUAGCACAAAUUUAGUAAAUGGCUUAUUGUGCAUUAUGUCUAGGUGGUGAGCUUUCUGGCAAAAGUAAAGAGAUAGUACCCGAGGAUCAAGAAUCGGAGUACUCGAAAUUCGACUCCUGAAAUAGUGAGUAACCUUAUCAUCAUCUUGAUUAUCUAAAGUGAAUUUUAAUUCGUUUUUAUGAUUUUAUGGAAAAUGAGUUUAAAUGGUAAAUCUUUAUGUUUUAUAAACAAAAUGUGUUUAAAUGAAAUGAUUUUAUAAAAUUGUCUUGAAAUUGAAUGAUGGUUUUGAAAAUGGAGUAAUUGGAGACUAAUUGUUGUGUUAUAAAUCAUGGUUUAAGUUGAAUGGCUUAUGAUAAUAUUGGCAUGAAUAGUUGAAUUGGUAAAUGUGUUGAAAAUGUAUGAACUAUUGAUUUGGCUUGAGAGACUGUAAAACAAAAUAAUUGUCAUGUCAUGCUGUUGAAUUUUAUUGAAUUGGUGGGUUAUAAAUUGGUCGCUGUAGUGGACGAGUUCUGUGGACUAGCCUAUUAGAGGGGCACGGUAACCCUAUUAUAUUCUUACCUCAGUAUGAGAGGCGCGGAUGGAUAACUCCUUAGGUUAACACUUUAGAGUUCACUUCACGCUAAACCACCACGUGAGGGUGUUUUAGCGAACGCCAAGGAACGGCUAUGUUUUCAAAAUAAAAACAUGAUUUAUGCGUACAUGACUUUUUAACAGCCUUGGCGGACUCGAUUGGGAUAGCCCUCGGCCAAGGUAUCCCUGAUAACUGAGUAUGAGAAUGAUUUUGGCACGAGCCAAAGUUUUAAGAAAUUCAUAAGCCAUGUUGAUUACUCAAUUUAUAUGAAUUGAUUUUAUUUGGUUGAAAUGAGUUGAAAGGUGAUGAAUUACAGUAUGUUAAACUAUUAUAUCUGUCUCUAUUUACUCAGCUUUAGAUAUUUUAGAUGGUAUUUGUUUACUCACUGAGAUUAUAUAAUCUCACCACCCUCUUUUCCACCCAUUUUAGGCUCAGGAUAGUCGGUAGAUAGCUCACUUUGUUGAGGACUACAAUUGGACUUGCAUCCUCAAAAACUUUAGUUAUCUGUAUCACAAUAUGUAUGAAUUUAUUUAGCUUUUAUGCUACAAAAAUUAUUUACCGA